rnacentral:rRNA from 1 species
UAGAACGCUGAAGAGAGGAGCUUGCUCUUCUUGGAUGAGUUGCGAACGGGUGAGUAACGCGUAGGUAACCUGCCUUGUAGCGGGGGAUAACUAUUGGAAACGAUAGCUAAUACCGCAUAACAAUGGAUGACACAUGUCAUUUAUUUGAAAGGGGCGAUUGUUCCACUACAAGAUGGACCUGCGUUGUAUUAGCUAGUACGUGAGGUAAUGGCUCACCUAGGCGACGAUACAUAGCCGACCUGAGAGGGUGAUCGGCCACACUGGGACUGAGACACGGCCCAGACUCCUACGGGAGGCAGCAGUAGGGAAUCUUCGGCAAUGGGGGCAACCCUGACCGAGCAACGCCGCGUGAGUGAAGAAGGUUUUCGGAUCGUAAAGCUCUGUUGUAAGUCAAGAACGGGUGUGAGAGUGGAAAGUUCACACUGUGACGGUAGCUUACCAGAAAGGGACGGCUAACUACGUGCCAGCAGCCGCGGUAAUACGUAGGUCCCGAGCGUUGUCCGGAUUUAUUGGGCGUAAAGCGAGCGCAGGCGGUUUGAUAAGUCUGAAGUUAAAGGCUGUGGCUCAACCAUAGUUCGCUUUGGAAACUGUCAAACUUGAGUGCAGAAGGGGAGAGUGGAAUUCCAUGUGUAGCGGUGAAAUGCGUAGAUAUAUGGAGGAACACCGGUGGCGAAAGCGGCUCUCUGGUCUGUAACUGACGCUGAGGCUCGAAAGCGUGGGGAGCGAACAGGAUUAGAUACCCUGGUAGUCCACGCCGUAAACGAUGAGUGCUAGGUGUUGGAUCCUUUCCUGGGAUUCAGUGCCGCAGCUAACGCAUUAAG